GUAGGUGGCAAGCGUUGUCCGGAAUUAUUGGGCGUAAAGCGCGCGCAGGUGGUUCUUUAAGUCUGAUGUGAAAGCCCCCGGGCUCAACCGGGGAGGGUCAUUGGAAACUGGGGAACUUGAGUGCAGGAGAGGAAAGUGGAAUUCCACGUGUAGCGGCGAGAUGCGUAGAUAUGUGGAGGAACACCAGUGGCGAAGGCGACUUUCUGGCCUGUAACUGACACUGAGGCGCGAAAGCGUGGGGAGCAAACAGGAUUAGAUACCCUGGUAGUCCACGCCGUAAACGAUGAGUGCUAAGUGUUGGGGGGUUUCCGCCCCUCAGUGCUGCAGCUAACGCAUUAAGCACUCCGCCUGGGGAGUACGGUCGCAAGACUG
rnacentral:rRNA from 1 species